AGACUGCAGGCUGCAACUCGCCUGCACGAAGUCGGAAUUGCUAGUAAUCGUAGGUCAGCAUACUACGGUGAAUACGUUCCCGGGCCUUGUACACACCGCCCGUCAAACCAUGAGAGUUGGCAACACCCGAAGUCGGUAGUCUAACCGCAAGGNGGACGCCGCCGAAGGUGGGGUUGAUGAUUAGGGUUAAGUCGUAACAAGGUAGC
rnacentral:rRNA from 1 species